UCCUGCCGGCGUGGCGUUGGGGGCUGGGGCCCUUUGGCGGCGCCCCCGCGGCCAGCGCGGAUGCUGGCGGCGGGGC
rnacentral:tRNA from 1 species